rnacentral:rRNA from 1 species
UACGUAGGGUCCGAGCGUUGUCCGGAAUUAUUGGGCGUAAAGAGUUCGUAGGCGGUUUGUCGCGUCUGCUGUGAAAUCCCGAGGCUCAACCUCGGGUCUGCAGUGGGUACGGGCAGACUGGAGUGCGGUAGGGGAGAAUGGAAUUCCUGGUGUAGCGGUGGAAUGCGCAGAUAUCAGGAGGAACACCGAUGGCGAAGGCAGUUCUCUGGGCCGUAACUGACGCUGAGGAGCGAAAGCGUGGGGAGCGAACAGG